AUAAAGCAGGUUAUAGUUGUUAAUGUUGUGUCAAAGGGUACGGCAUUUAAACAUGUUCUUGCACAAGUUUCCUGGCUUCAUCCCCACCCAGACAGACAUUUUUAUGCAAAGCCAAUAGAAGUUUGGGGCUUGCAGGGAACAGAUACGUCAUACCCAGCAUCAUUUCUGCCAGUUGACCGCAUUGCCAGAAGAUGUGUAGUUAAUACAUCCUCUGUGCAUUUAAGUAAGACCAAAGAAAAGGUCACUGUAGUCCUGCCACUAUGCACUGUAGCUCUAGGAGACUGUGAUCUCUGCAGACCCCUCAUUCUGAUUCAAAUGAUGUUUGCAUGGAAUGCUCAUUUUACCUUGAUUAAAACUAAUUUUUUAAAGAAGUUAUUUUGUGUAUCUUUUUUACAUAACAUUUGCCAUUGCUAAUGGCGUACACUGUAAUCUAGCAUAUUUGAAUUAAAUAAAUCAAUUCAAGCUAAAAUGUAAGAGUUGUAGGAUAUUAGAAACAAAAAUACGACCCGGUUCAUAAAAUUAAUAAAAAUGCAUAUAGUGUACACCAGAAUACAGCCAUGAUUCUGAAACUGUAAUCAAUAAAGUAAUGACAGUAUUGUAAAACCACUGUAAUUCUGCAACUGUAAUAGAACAAUACCAAUGCAGUUAUGAUUGUAUUUGAUGUAAUGUAAUCAACUGGAAUGCAUGCAUGUAAUACUUGCACAACAACUGAUAUUGACUAAGGAUCAUUCGAAAUCUGAGUUACAUUGAACUCACCAGAAGACCACUCCCAGAGGUGUGGACACUAACUUUCACACCUUUAAGCAUUGUUAUAAAUACCUGUAGGAACCAUUGUUCUCGAGUUCACUGGUGGAGGCGACAGACGGGCACUAGGGAUGGUCAAAAGGACUGACCUGGGGCCUGUUGGUUGCUGAGACCAGCGGCUCCUCAGCUGAGAUGUUCUUUUUACCGCAACGCCAUCUCUUUUAUUAAAUACAUUUGAUUUUAACCUUUUGAUCAGUGAUGACCUCUGUCCGUCUGGCGUUUCUUCAUUUUUGAACACAACAGAGUCUAUAAUUAGGCUACUGAGCCUGAUCUAUUUGUACCAGAGAUUUUCUUACCUUUUAAAAAAAUGUCACCUGGGCUAAAACUCCCUCUGCAACCCUGAUUUGCAUUUGUAUAGCUCACAGCAUUUUCAUUUACAUGUCAAAGCCUCCGGUAGAAUUAGGAGGAGGGGGGGUCAUGGGGGGACAACUGCCAAGGGAGGCCCACGUCAAUUUCUGACAAUUUACGGCAGUUUUCGGUGUUGCCGGCAAAUUGCCGUGAACAGCCAUAAACCUGAAAUUCCACGACAAUCUACAGUGCCGCAUACUGACGAAACACAGGUGUGGCUUACGGGGUAAUUCACAAUUCUUUUAAUUCAAGCACUUUAUUGACAACUUCUAAUACUUAAAGCCAUAAACUGUUUUAUGACAAGUAUUUGUUGUAUUGUGGUUGUACAUUUUAUUUGUAUUUGCUGAAGAAGUAAUCUGCUUUAUUUGAAAGUGAUGCAAUUUUUUAUUCCUUUAUUUGAGUAUAGAGGG
ensembl:lncRNA